GUGAGGAAUAUUGGACAAUGGAUGGAAAUCUGAUCCAGCCAUGCCGCGUGCAGGAAGACGGCCCUAUGGGUUGUAAACUGCUUUUAUACGGGAGCAAUAAGGUCUAUGCAUAGAUUGAUGAGAGUACCGUAUGAAUAAGCAUCGGCUAACUCCGUGCCAGCAGCCGCGGUAAUACGGAGGAUGCGAGCGUUAUCCGGAUUUAUUGGGUUUAAAGGGUGCGUAGGCGGCUUUGUAAGUCAGCGGUGAAAAUUUGCAGCUUAACUGUAAAGGCGCCGUUGAUACUGUGAAGCUAGGAUUUGGUUGCUGUGGGCGGAAUGUGUGGUGUAGCGGUGAAAUGCAUAGAGAUCACACAGAAUAUCGAUUGCGAAGGCAGCUCACAAAGCCAAUAUUGACGCUGAGGCACGAAAGUGUGGGGAUCAAACAGGAUUAGAUACCCUUGUAGUCC
rnacentral:rRNA from 1 species